UACGUAGGUGGCAAGCGUUGUUCGGAAUUAUUGGGCGUAAAGGGCGCGUAGGUGGUAAAGCAAGUAAGAUGUGAAAGCCCUGGGCUUAACCUGGGAAGUGCAUCUUAAACUGCUUAACUAGAGUAUGGUAGGGGGUAGUGGAAUUUCCGGUGUAGCGGUGAAAUGUGUAGAGAUCGGGAGGAACACCGGUGGCGAAGGCGGGUCUCUGGGCAUCUCCUGACGCUGAGGCGCGAAAGCGUGGGGAGCAAACGGG
rnacentral:rRNA from 1 species